AGAGUUGAUCCUGGCUAGGAUGAACGCUAGCGGCAGGCUUAACACAUGCAAGUCGAGGGGCAGCGCGUGUAGCAAUACGAUGGCGGCGACCGGCGGAAGGGUGCGUAACACGUGAGCAACUUGCCCGCAUCUGGGGGAAAAGCGAUGGAAACGCCGUCUAAUACCCCAUAACAACAGGGACCGCAUGAUCCCCGUUUGAAAGAAUUUCGGAUGCGGAUGGGCUCGCGGGACAUUAGCUAGUUGGAGUGGUAACGGCACACCAAGGCGACGAUGUCUAGGGGUUCUGAGAGGAAGGUCCCCCACAUUGGAACUGAGACACGGUCCAAACUCCUACGGGAGGCAGCAGUGAGGAAUAUUGGUCAAUGGACGGAAGUCUGAACCAGCCAUGCCGCGUGAAGGAAAAUAAGGCCCUAUGGGUCGUAAACUUCUUUUGUGGCGGAGCAAUAAGGCGUACGCGUACGCCGAUGAGAGUACGUCACGAAUAAGCAUCGGCUAACUCUGUGCCAGCCGCAGC
rnacentral:rRNA from 1 species